GGGGACAGGAGUCAAGCACGCAGGUCUCGUGUCUGGCACGGGCAGCCUGGCCAGGUUUAGGCAGUCUGGUGACAGCAGUGAGAGCUGGAAGCAAACCUGCAGCUGUGCAAGGAGUGCCAGCUGUGUGUGUCACCUCUGUGCUGGAGAAUCCCAUGAGAGAAGAUAAACACAAAGAUGGAAACCUGAUUUAAUUCUUGCAAUUGUAUUAUUGCAAUUAUUAAUUAAAUGAAUUAUUACACUUUCAACAGAGAAGAUUGAAC
rnacentral:lncRNA from 12 species